rnacentral:rRNA from 1 species
UACGGAGGGGGCUAGCGUUGUUCGGAAUUACUGGGCGUAAAGCGCGCGUAGGCGGACCUGCAAGUCGGGGGUGAAAGCCCGAGGCUCAACCUCGGAACUGCCUUCGAUACUGCGGGUCUCGAGUCCGGGAGAGGUGAGUGGAAUUCCUAGUGUAGAGGUGAAAUUCGUAGAUAUUAGGAAGAACACCAGUGGCGAAGGCGGCUCACUGGCCCGGUACUGACGCUGAGGCGCGAAAGCGUGGG